rnacentral:lncRNA from 1 species
AAAAAACUAAACGUUUCUCCCCCUCCCCAAAGUCAUGCCGCUCAGCAAAGGUUGCUCAGAGGCCUUUGAACCGUCGUCCAGCUCCGAUUGCGAUGGAGCCAACGAGGAUCCGACCACACAGGUAAAUCCCCUCGCUUCUAACCUUAUUUCCUCUUUUUAUUACCUUAUUGCUAAUAAAUAACAGAGCCACGAAAAAAAGAACAAAGAAAUGCAAAAAAUAAAUGAAAUAACCUUCCAAAACUCAAAGAAAACUCUGUUUUUCGAUUCUUUUCUAUUGAUAUUGUUUAUAUUGAUAUUUCCCCUUUACAACACUCGAAUGGCCCUCUUUUUAUGGCCAGCUUUUACAAAGAAAAUAAAAAAAAGGAAAAUCAUCCGAAAAAAUCCUCUCUGCUGCCUUUUUUCGUGCGUAUUUCUGCUGUUGUUUUUGUUUGUUUGUGUCUGCUGUAGGUACGGUCGUACGGAGGAGCGUGGCAUGGAGGCACGCGUGUGAGAGGCGAAGGUGCACGAGUACGGAGGCUCGUCACGCGCGAAGGCUUGGCUGCGGCGCUGAAGGGUUCUAGAAACCCUAAGGGUUUCUGGGAUACUCUUUCAAAAUGGGCUAAUUGGGCUGUAUGUAUUUGGGUUUGGGCUUGUGUCAGAUUAGGUUUGGGCUAGCUGAAUGUAAUUUGGACUGCUAUUUUAUUGGACCCUUUUUUUUGGUUUAAUUUUAAUUUGGUUUUAUUUUAUUGACGGGCUGGG